UACGUAGGGGGCAAGCGUUGUCCGGAAUUAUUGGGCGUAAAGAGCGUGUAGGCGGCUCGGUAAGUCUGCUGUGAAAGUCCAGGGCUCAACCCUGGAAUGCCGGUGGAUACUGUCGAGCUCGAGUCCGGAAGAGGCGAGUGGAAUUCCUGGUGUAGCGGUGAAAUGCGCAGAUAUCAGGAGGAACACCAAUGGCGAAGGAAGCUCGCUGGGACGGUACUGACGCUGAGACGCGAAAGCGUGGGGAGCAAACAGG
rnacentral:rRNA from 1 species